GAGCAGAGGGUGUUAGUGCAUCCUCCCCUGCUCUUAAAGCAGCACCCCCAGCGCCAUCAAACCUGCAGAACCCACCGCAUUUUGAACCAGUUUGGAGGCUCAUAAAAGGCCUCCAGACCAGUUCCGUGCACAUCCUUAGUGCCAGGUGCUUUAGAGCCAGAGGGGGGAGUGGGGAAAGAAAUAUAGGGGAUGGGAAUAUGUUGCAUUUUGAAAUGUUUCUACUAAUGCAUAGUUGCAUAAAUAUACCUGUUUUAUAUCCUCACAUUCUUGUGAUUUCAGUUGCUGUUUGUGCCCUCAAGAAGUCACAUGUUAAAAAUACAUGUGUGUGGGGGGAUGAUGCUUAAUUUGUGGGCGGGGGCCCCUCCAAAGGCCUUUAGGUCUAUGCUCCAAAAUUACCUAGGUGCACCUCUGAUUUGUAGUGUGGGCCUUAGUUUCUAUUUAAUCUCUCUUUUCUAAAUAGAUGCUGGUGCUCAUGCCAUGCCACAUCUACUGGGGAAGAGGAGUUCCUCCCAUCCACACUUAAACCAGUUCUUCUUAUAGAGAUUUGGGAACUGUAGUUCAGUAAAGGGCAGGCUAGGGCAGAGAUUCCCAUUUUGCAUCCCCAGAUGUUGGGUUGCCUAUAGUUGUUGGACCCAGCUGCUGUUGGAUUUUUUUUGUUGUUGUCACAAUGAACUAACACAGAUGUGGGAAAAGGCUACAGCUGGGGUUCCCACUCUUGAGUCCUUAGACGUUACUGGAUUACAAUGUGUAUCACCCUCAGCCACAAUGGCCUCUGGUCAUUGCAGCUGGGGAUGAUGUAGUCCAGCAUCAUCAGGGGUGCCAAGCGUGGGAACUCCUGGGGCUUGUGGAUCUGAUAAUCAUCAGCACUCUUUCCAACCUAGAACUCCCAGGAUAGGACUAGUAUCUCUAUAUAUAAUUCUCCUGGGUGUGCCUUUCGAACGUGCGUCCCGGCAGCCCAGCUGAUUGGCUGGGCUGCGGGGGCGCCUGAUUGGUCCUGGCGCACCCAGGAGAAUUGGCUGGCUGUGGAGGCAAGGCAGCGGGCCGGCGCGGCGGCAGUAGGAGGCCAGGCCGCGGCGGGCCAGGCAACGGCAGGAUGAGGCGGCAGGUCCAGUGUGACGGUGGGUCCGGUGCGGCCGCGGCGGCAGGCCCAGCCGUGAUGGCGGCCGCACUCGGCCCGGCCGGAGACUGAGGCAGGAGGAGAGAGAGGUAGCCGGCCCCAAAGAGCGCACAGAUGCUCUGUGCGGGGGUAGGCUUGUAAAAUAUAUUUAUGUUUGCAAUGUAGAUAGGAGCUAGGGGUAUGCAUGAACCAAAUUUUGCAGUUCGGUUCAAAUUAGAAUCAAACUGCUGGUCUGCGAACCAUCGAGUGGUCUGUUCAAUUCAACUGAACUAGUUUGGCAGUUCAAGGAGCUAUUUUGUAAAGGGGAAUUCGGUCAGGAUUUCCUUUUACAAGCAAAGGCGGGGUGGAAUACGUGAAAAGGGCAGCUGCGGGGGCAACGAGAGGGAACCUUUUAAAGUAGAUUAAGGUUUUUACUGGUCCGGCAGCAGCUGCAGCUCUUCAAAGCCCCCCAGCGCAGCCCAAGUGGGUGGCGCUCCCCCCAGUAACCUGCCUGUGCGGUGGUGGCAUCGUUCUGGCCUCCGUGGCUGUGAGGAGGCCAUUUGGGUGGUCAUGCAAAUUUACUUGUAAUCCUCACCAGAUUCCCCUUCACAAGCAUAGCUCCUCAAACCGCUGAACCAGUCCACUAUGGACUGGACUCAGUUCGAUUCGAUCACAGACAGGACCGCCUCUGGUCUGGUCUGCAACCAAACAGUCAUACUGGCCUGGUUUGAUACGAACAGGUUCACGAUUGAAUGGUUCAUGCACACCCCAUAGGAACUCACCCAGAUACAUCUCUUCCAGUCCUGAAGGAUGACACUUGCAGGUGGCAAUUAUGACAUCACCUGUGGUUUCUUUAUUAUGGUGUGUUCAUGGUCUCCUUGGUGAUAGCUAAAGAUCAACAGUCUGGCUCAGUGGUGUGGAUGAUGCAGGAGAAGCAGCAGUGUCUCUCAGGGGCAGCUUGGUUCUCCUCUUCCUGAUCCAAGAAUAAUGGGAUAAUCACGGCAAAGCAGUUGUGCUCCUUUUUAAUAUACAAAUGGAUGCCUGGUAAGAAGUAUUUUUCUGUUCUAAAACAGGAAUUUUUAAUAGCUGGAGGCAGUUUGAAACCAAACAAUCAAUCAAAUGAGGCAAGUAUUUCAGCAUCUCUAAAUGCCAAAUUACUUGGCUCUGUAAAUAUCCUUUGCCAAGGCUUAGUUCUAGAGACUGGAGAGGAAAAGAUACUAAGUUGCUGGGAGAAGUAUCUUAACCCUGGACAUAGAACAACUUGAACAAGAAGCUACAGACAAAUGGACAACAAUAAGACAACACUUGUUUUGGGAAGUCAUCUGGAAAAGCUUUAAAAAACCUAGAUUCCACCAAGUUUAAGAAAAUUGAUAACAAAAAUUGUGACACAAGGCAAGGAAUAUAACUUGCUGUACUGUUGCAGAAAAAGAGAAGCAAAAAACUUCAGAUAUUAGCAUCACCAACACAGAGUUGGAGGAAGAAACAUCAAUAACAUGUGCUACACUGAUGACACCACUCUGAUAGCUGAGAAUGCAGAUGAUCUGCAAGCUCUAGUAAUGAAAGUCAAGGAGCACAGUGAAAAAAUGGGACUACGACUAAAUGUAAAGAAGACUAAUGACAAUGGGUACAGCAACCAGCCUCAGAAUUGAUAAUGAAGACAUUGAAAUGGUGGAUAGCUUCUGCCUUUUAGGAUCAACCAUCAACAGUAAAGGAUCCAGCAGUCAAGAAACAUGCCACAGACUAGCACUUGGUAGGGUUGCAAUGAAGGACUUGGAAAGGAUAUUUAGAUGUCAUGACGCGUCUAUACCUACAAAGAUUAGAAUCGUUCGGGCAAUGGUUUUUCCCAUGACACUCUAUGGAUGUGAAAGCUGGACUUUGAAGAAGCAAGAUAGAAAAAAUAUUGAUGCUUUUGAACUUUGGUGCUGGAGAAGACUUUUGAGGAUACCAUGGACAGCCAGGAAAACAAACAAAUGGAUCAUAGAACAAAUCAAGCCAGAAUUUUCACUUGAGGCACAAAUGACCAGGUUCAGACUAUCAUACUUAGGACAUAUUAUGCAAAAAUCCAGCUCCCUUGAGAAGUCUAUAAUGCUGAGAAAAGUUGAGGGAAAGAGAAGAAGAGGAGAACCAGCAGAAAGGUGGAUGGAUUUGAUUAUGACAGCAAUGAAUGCACCACUGAGAUACCUUAAAGGCCAAGUUGAAGACAGAUCAUCCUGGAGAGAAUCUAUGUGGUCACUAAAAGUCAACACCGACUUGAUGGCACUUAAUCAAUCAAUCAAUCAAUCAAACAGUCUCAUUACACAUUCAUUUAGUUCCAAUAAGAUGUGAGAUGCUAACUUGUAAAGAACAAGAGCUGAGAGUGCUUGCAAUGUAUAACAACAUAUUCCGUGUAUGACCUCACAAUAGCUUGUAUGAAGAUAACUUUAAAGCCCUUUUCCAAAAUGCCAGGCAGUCCAAUAAUGGAAUGUAUUAACAUGACAAGUCAUCAGAGUCCAUCAGCACUAACAAGGAUGAAUGGAUCAGGAAGAUUUUUGUAGUGGAAUGUGAUUGUUGAAAAAGGCCUUCCUUCUAUUCUUAGGAACUGUAAGUGGGAGAAGAAAGUGAGCAUACAAAGGGGUCUUGCAGAAUCCAGCCUCAAAUGAUUACAAUGGUGAUUAUGAUAAAAUGGAGGCUGAUUCUCUUACUGCUUCCUGUUGUAGGCUUCCAGCACUUCCCUUCAUGAUGUGUACAAAUGCUGACCUAGAGAAUGGUAGUUUCUGUGUUCCCAGCUACCUAUGGGUAUUCCUGGAGCUCCUGCAGAUUCACUGAAAGUAAAAUCUUCAUACUACCUUUCCUUCUGUCUGUGCCAUCUAUCUACCCUGCUCCCACUUUUCCUUUGUUGAACCUUUGAUUGUUUCCUUUGUUUUAUGAAUAUUCAACAAAAUCCUUACUUUGAAAUCAAGAUAAAAAGUCAGUUUUUACA